CCGGAAGUGAAGGCAGAUUUCCCUCCUUCGUCGCUGUUGCUGCCGCCAUACGCGCUCUCCCUGUUUAGUUAUGGCAGAGAACGAUGUGGACAAUGAGCUCUUGGACUAUGAAGAUGAUGAGGUGGAGACAGCAGCUGGGGGAGAUGGGGCUGAGGCCCCUGCCAAGAAGGAUGUCAAGGGCUCCUAUGUCUCCAUCCACAGCUCUGGCUUUCGUGACUUCCUGCUCAAGCCAGAGUUGCUCCGGGCCAUUGUCGACUGUGGCUUUGAGCAUCCGUCAGAAGUCCAGCAUGAGUGCAUCCCUCAGGCCAUUCUGGGAAUGGAUGUCCUGUGCCAGGCCAAGUCGGGCAUGGGAAAGACAGCAGUGUUUGUCUUGGCCACACUGCAACAGCUGGAGCCAGUUACUGGGCAGGUGUCUGUGCUGGUGAUGUGUCACACUCGGGAGUUGGCUUUUCAGAUCAGCAAGGAAUAUGAGCGCUUCUCUAAAUACAUGCCCAAUGUCAAGGUUGCUGUUUUUUUUGGUGGUCUGUCUAUCAAGAAGGAUGAAGAGGUGCUGAAGAAGAACUGCCCGCAUAUCGUCGUGGGGACUCCAGGCCGUAUCCUAGCCCUGGCUCGAAAUAAGAGCCUCAACCUCAAACACAUUAAACACUUUAUUUUGGAUGAAUGUGAUAAGAUGCUUGAACAGCUCGACAUGCGUCGGGAUGUCCAGGAAAUUUUUCGCAUGACCCCCCACGAGAAGCAGGUCAUGAUGUUCAGUGCUACCUUGAGCAAAGAGAUCCGUCCAGUCUGCCGCAAGUUCAUGCAAGAUGUAAAUACCCUUCUACCUUCUCUCCCUCCACUCCCCGCCCGCUGCCUCCUCCCCUUCCUCGCCCUCUUCCUCAGACUCCCUUGUCAUUCAAGUGCCAAGAAGGCGGCUUGUGCCCAACUGGGAGUAAUGACUCCUUGAAGAGACAUACAGAAGCAGAGACAGCUAGUGUUAGGGCCUGCGCGGGUGCCAGGGAAACUCCGGAAGACUUGGUCGGGUUAAUGUGAGAGCGGGUAGUGUUCGACUUUUUCAUAAAUCACAACAUUUUUGAACCUCUUCUCCCUUCGGGGGAGGGCAGGAUUUUUCUGCCCUACCACCCACCCAUCCAUCGUCUCUUACAUGCCCCCUACAGCCACGCACCCUCAAGGUGGCAUCGAGCAUACAGCUGGAGCCUUCUGCUCACCAAAACUCCUACUUCCCGGUGGCAGGAGAGCAAGAGAGGGACAGACAGAUGGCAGGGCAUGUCCAAAAGAAGAGCAUCAGCACAAAUGAAUCCUCCCCUUCCCCACCUCCAGGGGUGGGGGCCUUUGGCACCUCAAUCCCCGAUACCCUACUCCUUCCCACCCACAUCUCCUUGCACCCAUCUGGAACCUCGGUUGAUGUGAGCCGGCAACAGAGAAGCACCGUGGCGCGGCGAGGGAAUGCAGACGGCACCCAGCGGUGGAUGGCGGCAGCGGAGGCCGCGGGGAAACCUGACCAGGAAGCUGAGGACCAAACCAGCCUCUUUUUCCGUUCCCGGUUUUUUUCCUGAACCCAACGCGUGCCGUGCCCCGUUUCCCCCAAUAUGUGUUGGGGAGGGGUGUCCUGAAUGGGGUGGUAGAUUUUUUUUCUUAAAAAAAUUUUUUUGUUUUUUUUAAUACUCAGAGGAGAGGGACAUAGGAAAGGUAAAGUGGAUGUAAUCGGGUGGUUGUUAGGGUUUGGGGCUAGGUGGGGCCAAUUGCAUAAGCAGUGGAGUGUGUUCUUCCCCUCCCUGCAGUGUUCCUUCCCGUGGGAUGAUCACUCUUUAGCUGUAUUUGGGGCUAGAAUGAGAUUUGAAGGAGGCCAUGGAACUUCUCUUUAGAAAGCCUGCCUUGGCUGGGCCUGGUGGCUCACCUCUAAUCCCAGCACUUUGGGAGGCCAAGGUGGGAGGAUUGCUUGAGCCCAGGAAUUUGAGACUAGCUGGGGCAGUGUAGUGAGACUUUGUCUCUACCAGAAAAACCGGGCGUGGUGGCGCAUGCCUGUAGUCCCAGCUACUUGGGAGGCUGAGGCAGGAGGGUUUGCUUGAGCCCGGGACGUGGAGGCGGCAGUAAGCUGUAAUUGUGCCACUGUACUCCAGCCUGGGUGAUAGAGUGAGACCCUGUAUCAAAACAAAAAAAACAAAACCUGCCUUCUGGGAUUGGGCUUCUGGUUUUUUUCCCAUGACACACGCAUCCUUUCCUAUUUUGUCCUCUGGGUCUUCAUAUUAACUAUCUUCCCCCAGGAUAGUAUAAAAAGUGUUAGGAAAGUUGGGCUUUGGAGUUGUGGUAAUUUCUGUCUUUGUUACUUUCCUCCCCUUCAGGGGGUUUUUUAAUUUUAAAGAUGAAUGCAGUGAGGUAUAAUGGUGUGUGCCUGUAGUCCCAGCUAUUCAGGAGACUGAAGCAGGAGGAUCACUUGAGCCCAGGAAUUUGAGGCUAUAGUGUGCUAUGAUUGUGCCAGUGAAUAGCCACUGCACUCCAGCCUGGGCAACAUGGUGAGAUCCUGUCCCUUAAAAGCGUAUCUGCUGCUCUGAAUUUGGUAUUUUAACACCACUUACUGAUACCUUCCCUGUAAACCUGUAGAUGGUUUAAUUCUUAGUCAAGAGACCAGUCUCAUCUAAAACUAUCCUGUUGUGGUCUGACGGCAAGUAACUCAUCUUGAGUAAUUUUUGUUUCUCCUUAAGUGGCAUUUUGACUGUCCAUUGCAGCAUUCUGAUCUUAAAAGACAUCCACUUUGCUAAUGCACUCGAGAUUCUCUUAGUUGAAGUAGGAGAAUCAAAUGGAGCAGUUGUCCUCCCCCCACCCCAUGUUCUUAGAAGCAACUCUGAUGGAGUUAUUCUGACCUUGAGUCACUGCCUCCCAUCAUUUCCCAGAUGUUUGGUCCUUGCUCUCCCUUUGAGAAUCAUCUCCCAUUUUCUUUCCUCUCCCACCUCUAUUUGAGGUAAUGGCAUCUGUGCCAUUGGGUGGUUUCACUGCUCCUUGACUUCAUUUGCAGUUUCUUUCCCAUGAUAGUUUUUAGUUGGGCAGUCUUAAAACUCAUCUGAUAGGAAGGAAAUUAGAUGUAAUGUGAGAGAGACCACAGUAAAAUGUGGGUAUUUUUGGGAGUGGGGUGGGGUUUUCAAUCUUCUCUUUCCUCCCCAUCCCCCCAUGGGGUGUAUUGGAGAUCAACUUCCUCCACCCCCCCAGGUUUAACCCCCCCACUCUGCCCUCCUCCCGUUCCCCACCCCCUUCCUCCCCCCCAGCCAAUGGAGAUCUUCGUGGAUGAUGAGACGAAGUUGACGCUGCAUGGGUUGCAGCAGUACUACGUGAAACUGAAGGACAACGAGAAGAACCGGAAGCUCUUUGACCUUCUGGAUGUCCUUGAGUUCAACCAGGUGGUGAUCUUUGUGAAGUCUGUGCAGCGGUGCAUUGCCUUGGCCCAGCUACUAGUGGAGCAGAACUUCCCAGCCAUUGCCAUCCACCGUGGGAUGCCGCAGGAGGAGAGGCUUUCUCGGUAUCAGCAGUUUAAAGAUUUUCAACGACGAAUUCUUGUGGCUACCAACCUAUUUGGCCGAGGCAUGGACAUCGAGCGGGUGAACAUUGCUUUUAAUUAUGACAUGCCUGAGGAUUCUGACACCUACCUGCAUCGGGUGGCCAGAGCAGGCCGGUUUGGCACCAAGGGCUUGGCUAUCACAUUUGUGUCCGAUGAGAAUGAUGCCAAGAUCCUCAAUGAUGUGCAGGAUCGCUUUGAGGUCAAUAUUAGUGAGCUGCCUGAUGAGAUAGACAUCUCCUCCUACAUUGAACAGACACGGUAGAAGACUCGCCCAUUUUGGAAUGUGACCGUCUGUCCUUCAGGAGAGGACACCAGGGUGGGGGUGAAGGAGACACUACUGCCCCCACCCCUGACAGCCCCCACCCCAUGGCUUCCAUCUUUUGCAUCACCACCACUCCUGAACCCCCAUUUCUGAUUUGUCAGAAUUUUUUUUUAACAAAACUAAAAAUGAAACACAUGUGUCUGUGGUAUCUAUAA
rnacentral:sRNA from 1 species